rnacentral:rRNA from 1 species
GACGAACGCUGGCGGCGUGCCUAACACAUGCAAGUGGAGCGACGAACCAGGGCUUGCCCUGGGGCAAAGCCGCGAACGGGUGAGUAACACGUGGGUAACCUGCCCCGAAGAUCGGGACAACCCGAGGAAACUCGGGCUAAUACCGAAUGUGAUCGCCGAGCGCAGGCUCGGUGAGCAAAGGAAGCUUCGGCCUCCGCUUCGGGAGGGGCCCGCGGCCCAUUAGCUUGUUGGUGGGGUAAGAGCCCACCAAGGCUGCGAUGGGUAGCUGGUCUGAGAGGACGAUCAGCCACACUGGGACUGAGACACGGCCCAGACUCCUACGGGAGGCAGCAGUGGGGAAUCUUGCGCAAUGCGCGAAAGCGUGACGCAGCAACGCCGCGUGGGGGAAGAAGGCCUUCGGGUUGUAAACCCCUUUCAGGAGGGACGAAGGUUCGGCGGUGAACAGCCGACCGAACUGACGGUACCUCC